UACAGAGACUGCAAGCGUUAUUCGGAUUCACUGGGCGUAAAGGGUGCGCAGGCGGCCAAGUGUGUGAGGCGUGAAAGCCCGGGGCUUAACCCCGGAAUUGCACCUCAAACUACAUGGCUAGAGCAUUGGAGAGGGUAGCGGAAUUCACGGUGUAGCAGUGAAAUGCGUAGAUAUCGUGAGGAACACCAGAGGCGAAGGCGGCUACCUGGACAAUUACUGACACUGAGGCACGAAGGCUAGGGGAGCAAACGGG
rnacentral:rRNA from 1 species